GUGGGGAAUAUUGGACAAUGGGCGAAAGCCUGAUCCAGCCAUGCCGCGUGUGUGAAGAAGGUCUUCGGAUUGUAAAGCACUUUAAGUUGGGAGGAAGGGCAGUAAGUUAAUACCUUGCUGUUUUGACGUUACCGACAGAAUAAGCACCGGCUAACUUCGUGCCAGCAGCCGCGGUAAUACGAAGGGUGCAAGCGUUAAUCGGAAUUACUGGGCGUAAAGCGCGCGUAGGUGGUUUUGUAAGUUGGAGGUGAAAUCCCCGGGCUCAACCUGGGAACUGCCUCCAAAACUGAAUGACUAGAGUACGGUAGAGGGUAGUGGAAUUUCCUGUGUAGCGGUGAAAUGCGUAGAUAUAGGAAGGAACACCAGUGGCGAAGGCGACUACCUGGACUGAUACUGACACUGAGGUGCGAAAGCGUGGGGAGCAAACAGGAUUAGAUACCCGGGUAGUCC
rnacentral:rRNA from 1 species